GUCUAUGGCCAUACCACCCUGAACAUAGCUGAUCUCAGAAGCUAAGCAAGUCAGGCCUAGUUAGUACUUGGAUGGGAGAAAUAUUAUUAACAAACACU
rnacentral:rRNA from 1 species